rnacentral:rRNA from 1 species
UAAAAAGCUCGUAGUUGGAUCUGUGUAUCGGACGGUCGGUUCGCCGCUCGCGGCGUUUAACUGACCGGUCCGGACGUCCUGCCGGUGGGCGGCUCGGCCCUUCACGGGGCCGGUCGCCCGUUAACCUUCCCUCCGGGCUGCUCUUAACCGAGUGGCGCGGUGGGCCGGCACGUUUACUUUGAACAAAUUUGAGUGCUCAAAGCAGGCCUCGAGUCGCCUGAAAACUGUGUGCAUGGAAUAAUGGAAUAGGGCCUCUUCUCUAUUUUGUUGGCUUUUCUGAGAUAGAGGUAAUGAUUAAUAGGGACAGACGGGGGCAUUCGUAUUGCGACGUUAGAGGUGAAAUUCUUGGAUCGUCGCAAGACGGACGGAUGCGAAAGCGUUUGCCAAGAAUGUUUUCGCUAAUCAAGAACGAAAGUUAGAGGUUCGAAGGCGAUCAGAUACCGCCCUAGUUCUAACCAUAAACGAUGCCAGCCAGCGAUGCGCCGACGUUCCUCCGAUGACUCGGCGCGCAGCUUCCGGGAAACCAAAGCUUUUGGGUUCCGGGG